rnacentral:lncRNA from 1 species
UUGGUUCGUCCUAUUGGAUCAAGUCACGUGGGACUCCAAUUCGUGGUAUACGUCGACAGUUGUAUUGAUUUCAUCAUGACAUUGGAUAUUGGGGUUACUAGGGGCUAUCUCGGUCUUUGAUUUAUUCGAUUCAUGGCACAAAUGUCCAUUCAAGUUAAAGAAACCAGAUUCAAGAUUGCUUCAAAUUUACUCAAGUACAAAACGUGGUUCAAACAACUGUUUUAGUACAAAAUGUUCAAUAGACCAAAAUCAAC